rnacentral:rRNA from 1 species
AAUGAACGCUGGCGGCAGGCCUAAAACAUGCAAGUCGAACGCCCUAGCAAUAGGGAGUGGCGCACGGGUGAGUAACACGUGGGAAUAUGCCUUUUGGUACGGAACAACGUCUGGAAACGGACGCUAAUCCCGUAUGGUCCCUUCGGGGUAAAGAUUUAUCGCCAAAAGAUUAGCCCGCGUCUGAUUAGCUAGUUGGUGAGGUAAUGGCUCACCAAGGCGACGAUCAGUAGCUGGUCUGAGAGGACGAUCAGCCACACUGGGACUGAGACACGGCCCAGACUCCUACGGGAGGCAGCAGUUAGGAAUAUUGGACAAUGGACGCAAGUCUGAUCCAGCCAUGCCGCGUGAGUGAUGAAGGCCUUCGGGUUGUAAAGCUCUUUAGUCCACGAUUAUAAUGACUGUAGUGGAAGAAUAAGCCCCGGCUAACUUCGUGCCAGCCGCCGCCGUAAAAC